rnacentral:rRNA from 1 species
AGAGUUUGAUCCUGGCUCAGAAUGAACGCUGGCGGCGUGCUUAACACAUGCAAGUCGAACGAGAAAGGGGUGGCAACACCCCGAGUAAAGUGGCGCACGGGUGAGUAGCGCGUAGGUGACCUGCCUUUGGGUUUGGGAUAACAGGGCGAAAGCUCUGCUAAUACCGGAUGAGACUGUUCUUUCGGGGACAGUGAAAGGGUGCGAUUCCUUCGGGGAGCAUCCGCCUGGGGAGGGGCCUGCGUCCUAUCAGCUAGUUGGUGGGGUAACGGCUCACCAAGGCGACGACGGGUAGCUGGUCUGAGAGGAUGAUCAGCCACACUGGCACUGACACACGGGCCAGACUCCUACGGGAGGCAGCAGUGAGGAAUUUUGCGCAAUGGGGGAAACCCUGACGCAGCAACGCCGCGUGGGUGAUGAAGGCCUUCGGGUCGUAAAGCCCUGUCGGGCGGGAAGAANGGGUUUUGGGCAAACAGCCCGAGAU